rnacentral:lncRNA from 1 species
GGACAAGAGGCCAUAUGCAGUUUUCCCCUUGGCUGAUCUUUUCUUCUUGUGGCUUAUUCCACAAACAAGAUGCAGAAUGGCAUAUACAGAACCCUGCAACGGCCCAGCCUCAUCACAAGAGAGGAACAGACCAUAGAGGGGUGGGGCAGAAAGAGGAAUGAUUUUUUUUUAACUGCGCCUUUUAAACUGCGAAGCAGCUAAGCUCCAUAUAUACAGAAGAGCCCCAUGGAAGUCUGGGUGUAUAUAGGGUUAUGUUUUCCAGGUAUGCUAAGUUUCUAGUGCCCAGAUUAGCCAACUGCUAGCUAGAAUAUUUUUCCCACUGUAAUUGCAUUUAAAAGGGGAAAAUACAAAAGGGGAAAAUAAAUUUGAAGAGUUUCAAAUGUAUGGGAUAACAAAGAGAAAAAAUACAGCUCUAUUAAGACCCAAUGAUAGGAGCUGUCUCCAUUGCACAUUUUUAUUCUUUCUCCGAGGUCACCAAUGUCUCAAAUACCAUGUCAAAGGAAGGAGACGGGUAUAUAGGAAAUGUUUUCUCUCAAGUAUGCUAAGUUCCCAGUGCCCAAAUUAGAUGACUUCUUGCUGGAAUAUUGCUCUCAUUGCAAUUGCAUUUAAGGUCACAGGUCAUAUGUUUUGGACAACUGAUAUCAACUGACUGGCUUCCUGGUGCAACUGAACUCUUCCUCUUUUGGGACUCCACGCAGUUACCAUUGUAUCUCUAGCUUGUGACAACUCUUAAGUAAAAUACUGUGUUCUGGGAACACAAUUUUACCAGGGAUAGGAAGUAACAGUUCAAAGGCCAGGGGAUGGCUUAUUUUCUAACCAAUGAUCUUUAAUGCCCUAUUCACUCAAGAUUCUUUACAAGAGGUAUUCAUGGAGACUUGGAAUUGUAUCAAGACAACUGCUGAGGGACAGAAGAACUCCCCAGUUCUACUUAGAUUCUACCUGGACUACAGUCUCUGGAAAAUUCCCAAUCUAUUCAGAAUCCAGAACAUCUCUCACUAAAACUAAUCAAAAUAACAAACUGAGGAGGAUGAAAUAUUGAUUUUAAUUUCCUUGGACUUUCAAAUCACUGUAGCAAGAAAAUACGAUUUUGGACUUGAAUUCAUCUGGAUUUAUUAAGGCUUUAGAUUUUCAUUUCUCCCUAGACAUCUCAUAGGGAAUUGAUACUCACUUUGGAUGCAUCUUUAUAAUUUGGUAUUUUGGUUUUGAAGUAUGGUAAUGCUGUCCUUUAAUCCCACAGCAGGACAUGGGCUAUGUGCCAUCAUCAUCUGUGAUAGAAAAUAGACCAAGGGCGAAUAGAUGGCCUUGAAAACCAAGUGGCCUAGGAGUUAAUUCUAAGGAACUUGUCUGAUCUAUGUUAGAGCCUUCUCAGAGCAAAAUCUUCAUUGCCCACCUGUGGCUCCAGGAUGAUUUCCCAAGAAGCAAGGGAAGCAGGGAGGUGAGAGCAGGCUGAUCCAACAGGCUGCUGCUUUGCUUCUGAGCACUGGGAGAGCCCCGCUCUAGCUUAAUGAACAAAAUCGUUCAUUAAAACUAAUAGAAUAAAAAUAUGGUAACUAAUGGAAAAGGAAUGACUCUUCCUCACUGUUGAUGUUCCCCCUUAAGUGAGGGACCAUCGAUUAGAAUAACAUACCUGGCUUUGUUCUACCUCUUGACUUUUUUAGCGUGAAUCUCACCCUAGACCUAGCAUCAGAAUCUUCUGGAGCUGGGGUCCAGGCACCAGUAUGUUUUAAAAGCUCCCCGGGUGAUUUUAAUGUGUAGGGAGAGCUAAGAACCAAUGAACUAAAUGAUCUCUAAAGAUACUUUCUAACUCUUUUUUUAAAAAAUGCUGUGAUACCACCAGGAGUUAGAGAAAAUGACUUCAAGGCCCUUGGGGCACCCUUUUCUAGCAGCCCCGAGGCUCCAGUGCAUAGUGUGCAAUCAGCCUUCUAAUAGGAGAAAAACAAUACAAGGCUUCAUGUGUUGGUCCCAAAGCUUGCCUAUUCUGGCUGCCCCACCAUGUCACUGCCAUACAAUCAAUGGAAAAAUUGUUCUUUACCAUAACUUGAGAGGGAGAUAAUCAGGAACAAUCUGGCUACACCAUAGGCUAAUCACAAUGACUGAUAUUUCUAGGGCUGCAUUAAUCAAGCCUUCAAGUAGACAGACUCUUACGGUCAGACCAAUUCUAGAAUGAUUCUGCCUCCACUGUGGGAAUCUUUUAUAAACGGAAAUUCUCCAUUCAGCCUUCCCUCUCUCUCUUAAGUGCAAAAUCCCUCCUAAUGGUAGCAUCUGUUGUCUGCGGCAAACAGAGUUGAUUACAGAUGCUCUGAAAGGAAUUUAAGUAUUUUCUCUUGCUACUCAGGAGGUGAUGGUGUGAUGGGAAACAGUAAUUCUUUUUAGAAAAUAAAAAACCUUUGGCUAAACAGUGACUACAAUAAUAAGGUGGGAGAUCUGUUUCUGUGACCCUUCUGUAUAUUUCAUAGAAUGGCUUGGUUUCCUGAAGCCUACUUUGCAAUUGUUGAAGUGAUUUGCCCACUCUAGAGAAGGUAUAUGAAGUGGAAAUGGAAUAUGAAGAGAUAUUCGUACAAGGGAACAAGGUGUGUAUUCCUAGCCUUAAUUUUAAGGUUAUAUGUCUGUGAUAUUAAUUUUAUCACAAAAAUGGACAAGUUCAUUUUUCUAAACCUGGAAAGACGCCAGUGGGGUUCUGUCUUAAUUAUGAGGACAGAGAAAAAAAAAACAUUUCACCCAGUGUUUGGUGCUAAGGUCUUAGUUAUGAAUAUAGAGAAAAGACACAUUUUACACAGGCUUUGGAGUUCAUGCAAGGCUGCACGCAAUUGCUUGCCUCAGAGAAUGGAGCAGUGGGAACUUGCUUCUGACCUGGUGGCUCACUGAAGCUCAAACUGGCAAUUUUAUGAAAUUUCCAGCAGCUUUGUAACUGUGUCUAUUAUUUAUGAUUCGGCAUCUUCAAAUUUUUCUACGGUAUACUUAACUUGAGCUGAACACUAAAAAAUGGCAAAGUUCGCAGCUUCAAAUUUUGUAGGGAACAAGCUAUGAAAGCUAUUCCUACUCUCUGUAUCUGCUCUUUAUUUUAGAAAAGAAAUACAAUAUUCUCCAUUCUAGGGGUAGGAUGGAGAGUCAACACAUAAUUCCUUGAUGUAAAACGGACAUUUCUUUUAUUUAAAUUUAAAAUUCGUAUAUUUGAUACUAUCCUUAUAUGUAAAAUAAGUAUCUGGAAUUCAUACCUCUACAAAAAAGCAAGGUAAAAUAGCUUUUAUUCUUCAAGACGCUGCCAUAAGAUACAAACAGUUACGUUUGCUCCAUCACCGUUUUUGUUUGGUAAUUUUUUUCCUCCCAGAUCUUUCCUGAUAGAAUUGUCGUGCAAAAAGGUCUUUUGAAUACUAAGUCAUCAGAAUUGUUUUAAGAAAAAUACAGAUGGAGUCUCACUCUGUUGCCCAGGCUGGGGUGC